rnacentral:rRNA from 1 species
CCUACGGGAGGCAGCAGUGGGGAAUAUUGCACAAUGGGGGAAACCCUGAUGCAGCGACGCCGCGUGAGCGAUGAAGUAUUUCGGUAUGUAAAGCUCUAUCAGCAGGGAAGAAAAUGACGGUACCUGACUAAGAAGCCCCGGCUAACUACGUGCCAGCAGCCGCGGUAAUACGUAGGGGGCAAGCGUUAUCCGGAUUUACUGGGUGUAAAGGGAGCGUAGACGGCUUGGCAAGCCAGAUGUGAAAGGCUGGGGCUCAACCCCAGGACUGCAUUGGGAACUACCGGGCUGGAGUGCCGGAGAGGUAGGCGGAAUUCCUAGUGUAGCGGUGAAAUGCGUAGAUAUUAGGAGGAACACCAGUGGCGAAGGCGGCCUACUGGACGGUGACUGACGCUGAGGCUCGAAAGCGUGGGGAGCAAACAGGAUUAGAUACCCGAGUAGUC